UUAAAGCCCCAAAAUCAUCGCCUCUGUGCUUUAUCUGAAAAUUUUCAAAAACUUCCCUCUACCCUUCGUUACAGAUAAAAGGAGACUCGUACAAGAUCAUAUACACACAGGUCUCCCCUUCCGUCACUCUUCAACCACCCGCAUUUCAAAAUUCAACAUGGGGACCUAUAGGAACCGAGUCGGUGAAUGUUGCCGUCUGAGGAAGCUAGUUUCGAUCUCUGCCUUCGAAUCGAAAGCUCAUGGCCGCACCAUCUUCCGCUGUCCUCUGCGACCUUGCCAUCACAUUGAGCCGCCUCUAUCGUGGACUGGGUUUACAGAAUCUGUUCCCUCAAGGUCCUAAUGGUUUAAUUUUGGAUUUCGAUAAUUUGAAUUUUUAGACUUGACCAGUAUGCUAGCAACUCAGUACUGUUCUUCCUUAGAAAUAAAGAACCGCUCGUGAACUUGUGUCUGGAUGACUGCUAGCGUGCAAUUUGUGACCUGUUUCUGGUAAUUUUCAGCUUUUGUUCUCAGAAUUUUGUUGUUAUUUGAAUAAUUGUUGCUUAGCUCCAGAAAUUGCCCUUCCUUUGAGCCCAUCGACUUCAAUUUGAGUAGAAGCGUGUUGUGAAGAUAAAAGCAGGAGGAAAGGGCAACAAAGUGUUUGCUGAAAUGUCUACAUGCUUGAUUUGUUAUUUCAUACUUGAGCUCCAAUUGGCAUAAACAAUAUCCAAUUGACAAUGGAAUAUAUCUUUAUCAGGGUUAAAAUAUUUCCAUCAACGAAUAUGCUCGUAUACAGCUCGAGAAAUGUAGAUCUUCCGUUGUGGUCACGAGUAUCUAAGGGUCAUGGAUUAUGUUUCUACACGGUUGAAAAAUGGUAUGAUAUAGUACGGUUAUGGUCACAUAAAUGGCUUUCAGUUUCAGGUACUCGGAAGUGGCCGCUAUGAGGUCUAUUUAGAAGAAAAGCCUUGUUAAAUGUGUCUCAACUGAGUUGAACAAAGACAAGUAGUGAAAUCAACGAGGUACGCCAAGUGCAUUUUAGUUCUCUAUUUCCUUUUAAUUUAAUUUAAUAUCUUCAAGUCCUAAGACUCUUUUGGCCUGUGGAAUGAUCAUUGAUAAGAUUCUUCAAUGCCUAAUUAUUGAUAAUUGUAGUUCUUCCAGCUCAUUCAUAAUUAUGUUAUUAAUUUUUGCAUAUACUUUUAAUGUGACCAUUGCCAAUGGGGAAGACUACACGGUUUGCACCUGGCGUAUUGUAUAACUGUCAAUUAAAUCACAUGUAUAAGUUCCCGGUAAGAUAGCAGCUUAGUUUAAUAGAACGUUUUGUUUUCUGGCUACAGCAGCACAUUGCUUCUGAAAUGUACUUAUGCUUCAACAUAGGAAUCUAAUUUUCUCAUUCUCGUAUGGGAGCUUACACCAAGAUCACGUCUUUAUUACUCCAACUAGUAUUUGAGGACAAGGUAAGGUGCUGCUUGAAGAAUGGUAUUUAGUGGACAACUUCUAUGUACGGAUUGCAAACAUGUCUGAUUUUAAUAUAUCUUUGCAUGGCAGAAUGGAAAAAAAAAAAAAGAUUGGAUCAUUCUUGAUGUAUCUUUUUUAAUGGUUAGCAUGAUUGUGAAUUUUUUCAAUUGUACAAAGACUACAUCUGCAUUCUCUAUUUGAUACUUCUCUCUCUUUUAGUUUUUGGUUUUCAGGUCUAGUAAUUAAGAGAAUUUCUACCAAGGGUGGUGAUGAUCCUAUUGAGGGCAUAAAUAGACAAUAGCUGUUAAGGGAGGAUAAUGAGGAGGAAACUUCUGCUGAUUGGAAAAUUCGUUAAAGUAUUGGAAUCAUUCAUAUUUGAUGGAUGCAAACUUUGGUGGAUGUUUUUAUUAGAUGUAGUUUGUAGUCAAACAGUUGAUUUGAUUUUGAAGGAUAUAUGAUCAGUCUUUUAUCUGGCU